UAGGGAAUCUUCCGCAAUGGACGCAAGUCUGACGGAGCAACGCCGCGUGAGUGAAGAAGGAUUUCGGUUCGUAAAACUCUGUUGUUAGAGAAGAACAGCGCAUAGAGUAACUGUUAUGCGUGUGACGGUAUCUAACCAGAAAGCCACGGCUAACUACGUGCCAGCAGCCGCGGUAAUACGUAGGUGGCAAGCGUUGUCCGGAUUUAUUGGGCGUAAAGCGAGCGCAGGCGGUCAAUUAAGUCUGAUGUGAAAGCCCCCGGCUCAACCGGGGAGGGUCAUUGGAAACUGGUUGACUUGAGUGCAGAAGAGGAGAGUGGAACUCCAUGUGGAGCGGUGAAAUGCGUAGAUAUAUGGAGGAACACCAGUGGCGACGGCGACUCUCUGGUCUGUAACUGACGCUGAGGUUCGAAAGCGUGGGUAGCAAACAGG
rnacentral:rRNA from 1 species